rnacentral:rRNA from 1 species
UACGUAGGGGGCAAGCGUUGUCCGGAAUCAUUGGGCGUAAAGCGCGCGUAGGCGGCCCGGUAAGUCCGCUGUGAAAGUCAAAGGCUCAACCUUUGAAUGUCAGCGGAUACUGCCGGGCUAGAGUCCGGAAGAGGCGAGUGGAACUCCUGGUGUAGCGGUGGAAUGCGCAGAUAUCAGGAGGAACACCAGUGGCGAAGGCGACUACCUGGCCUGUUCUUGACGCUGAGGCGCGAAAGCUAGGGGAGCAAACAGG